CUUCCUGGCGGCGCGCUCACUGCGCUCCUUCCCCUGGCAGAGCUUAGAAGCAAAGUUAAGAGACUCAUCAGAUUCUGAGCUGCGGCGGGAUAUUUUGCAGAAGGCCAGGCCAGGAUCAGAUGGGAAGUGGAAGCUUGUCAUGACCAGAAACUGUUUCCCUACAAAGAGCACUUGGAGAUGGCAAUGCUGAACCUAAUACUGUAGGACUCACACGCGACUUCAACGGGAUUGUGAGGAUCAAGUCACUCUCAUGGGAAGAAUUUUUACAUGGGAAAGCGGAUAAAACUUUCAUUGGACUGGAAUGUUUGGAGAAUAUUAAUUUCCAAAUCAGGAACCACAAACUGCCCUCUAAUAAGACAUCGGCUAUCUAAGCGUGUGGGUGCCCCCUUUCUGCCAGCAGUUCUGGUUCUUAAGAAAAUCACCAUAAAUCAGACAUGAAAAUUCUGGCUCUAAAAAUAGCAUUUUCUUUGUGCAAAUAAAAACGUGUGUAUCAAGUAUGAUGUUCCCCCAACGUGGACACACCCGGUUCCUCACAAAGCCAAGCCCGCUGCAGCUGCCACAUCCCUGGGCUUACUGUGCAGCAGGUGCUUUUUUCAAGACAGGAAUCAAAAUAUUAGGAACACG
rnacentral:lncRNA from 1 species